GAUGAACGCUGGCGGCGUGCCUAAUACAUGCAAGUCGAGCGAACAGACGAGGAGCUUGCUCCUCUGACGUUAGCGGCGGACGGGUGAGUAACACGUGGAUAACCUACCUAUAAGACUGGGAUAACUUCGGGAAACCGGAGCUAAUACCGGAUAAUAUAUUGAACCGCAUGGUUCAAUAGUGAAAGACGGUUUUGCUGUCACUUAUAGAUGGAUCCGCGCCGCAUUAGCUAGUUGGUAAGGUAACGGCUUACCAAGGCAACGAUGCGUAGCCGACCUGAGAGGGUGAUCGGCCACACUGGAACUGAGACACGGUCCAGACUCCUACGGGAGGCAGCAGUAGGGAAUCUUCCGCAAUGGGCGAAAGCUUGACGGAGCAACGCCGGGUGAGUGAUGAAGGUCUUCGGAUCGUAAAACUCUGUUAUUAGGGAAGAACAAAUGUGUAAGUAACUAUGCACGUCUUGACGGUACCUAAUCAGAAAGCCACGGCUAACUACGUG
rnacentral:rRNA from 1 species